rnacentral:rRNA from 1 species
GAGCGUUCUGUAAGUCGCUGAAGCUGUGUUGUAAAGCAUGGUGGAGAUAUCAGAAGUGCGAAUGCUGACAUGAGUAACGAUAAGAGGGGUGAAAAACCCCUCCGCCGAAAGAUCAAGGUUUCCUGUCCAACGUUAAUCGGGACAGGGUGAGUCGGCCCCUAAGGCGAGGGCGAAAGCCGUAGUCGAUGGGAAACCGGUUAAAAUUCCGGUACCGACUCUUACUGCGAUGGGGUGACGGAGAAGGCUAGGCUAGCACGGCGAUGGUUGUCCGUGUUUAAGCGUGUAGGUAGGGGGAUUAGGUAAAUCCGGUCCCUCGUUAAUCUGAGACGUGAUGACGAUCCCUUGGGGCGACCCUCGGGAGAAGUAGUCGAUGCCAUACUUCCAGGAAAAACCUCUAAGCUUCAGGUAAGAGUUGACCGUACUGUAAACCGACACAGGUGAUCAGGUAGAGAAUACCAAGGCGCUUGAGAGAACUUGGGUGAAGGAACUAGGCAAAAUGGUACCGUA